UGAAUACGAGACGCUACGGCGUCGAAGCAGUCUAUGUCAUACUUCCAAGAAAAGCUCGCAAUGUCAAAAACAAAUAAUGCCUGUACCAUAACCGACACAGGUGGGUAGGUAGAGUAUACUAAGGGGCGCGAGAUAACUCUCUCUAAGGAACUCGGCAAAAUGACUCCGUAACUUCGGGAGAAGGAGUGCCUUAUUUAUAAGGUUGCAAUAACAAGAUCCAAGCAACUGUUUAUCAAAAACACAGGUCUCCGCUAAGUCGUAAGACGAUGUAUGGGGGCUGACGCCUGCCCAGUGCCAGAAGGUUAAAGAAGUUGGUUAGCAUUCGCGAAGCUGAUAACUGAAGCCCUGGUGAACGGCGGCCGUAACUAUAACGGUCCUAAGGUAGCAAAAUUCCUUGUCGGGUAAGUUCCGACCCGCACGAAAGGCGUAAUGAUUUGGAUACUGUCUCGGAGAGGGGCUCGGUGAAAUAGACUUGUCUGUGAAGAUGCGGACUACCUGCACCUGGACAGAAAGACCCUAUGAAGCUUUACUGUAACUUAAAAUUGAAAUUGGACUUUAUUUGCGCAGCAUAGGUGGGAGGCGUUGAGAGUAUUCUUGCGGGAAUAUUGGAGCCAUCAGUGAGAUACCACUCUUGUAAUGUUAGAUUUCUAACUUUGGAUCAUUAUCUGGUCAAAGAACAGUUUCAGGCGGGCAGUUUGACUGGGGCGGUCGCCUCCCAAAUGGUAACGGAGGCGUACAAAGGUUUCCUCUGAACGGGUAGAAAUCGUAUCUAGAGUGUAAAGGCAUAAGGAAGCUUGACUGUGAGACCUACAAGUCGAGCAGGGACGAAAGUCGGUCUUAGUGAUCUGACGGUGCUGAGUGGAAAGGCCGUCACUCAACGGAUAAAAGUUACUCUAGGAUAACAGGCUGAUCUCCCCCAAGAGUUCACAUCGACGGGGAGGUUUGGCACCUCGAUGUCGGCUCAUCGCAUCCUGGGGCGGUAGUACGUCCCAAGGGUUGGGCUGUUCGCCCAUGAAAGCGGUACGCGAGCUGGGUUCAGAACGUCGUGAGACAGUUCGGUCCAUAUCCGGUGUAGGCGUUAGAAUAUUGAGAGGAGCCUUCUUUAGUACGAGAGGACCGAGAAGGACAUACCUCUGGUGUACCAGUUAUCGUGCCAACGGUAAACGCUGGGUAGCUAUGUAUGGAGAGGAUAACCGCUGAAAGCAUCUAAGUGGGAAGCCCACCUCAAGAUAAGUAUUCUCAUG
rnacentral:rRNA from 1 species